rnacentral:rRNA from 1 species
GAUGAACGCUGGCGGCGUGCCUAAUACAUGCCAGUCGAGCGAACAGACGAGGAGCUUGCUCCUCUGACGUUAGCGGCGGACGGGUGAGUAACACGUGGAUAACCUACCUAUAAGACUGGGAUAACUUCGGGAAACCGGAGCUAAUACCGGAUAAUAUAUUGAACCGCAUGGUUCAAUAGUGAAAGACGGUUUUGCUGUCACUUAUAGAUGGAUCCGCGCCGCAUUAGCUAGUUGGUAAGGUAACGGCUUACCAAGGCGACGAUGCGUAGCCGACCUGAGAGGGUGAUCGGCCACACUGGAACUGAGACACGGUCCAGACUCCUACGGGAGGCAGCAGUAGGGAAUCUUCCGCAAUGGGUGAAAGCCUGACGGAGCAACGCCGCGUGAGUGAUGAAGGUCUUCGGAUCGUAAAACUCUGUUAUUAGGGAAGAACAAAUGUGUAAGUAACUAUGCACGUCUUGACGGUACCUAAUCAGAAAGCCACGGCUAACUACGUG